GGAAAACUAAAAUGAGAGAAUGGGUGUCCAAGAGGACAAGUUCAUGCUCACCCGGUGAUGAGAGUUUGAUUGCAGAAUAAGGCUAGACAAAGGGAAGCUGAACAUGACCAAAGCCAUGUGACAUCGUAUGAUCCUCGAAUCUCACAGUAUCUAUGUAUCUAUAAUCAGAUACAUCCCUAGACUUUCCAGGAAUUCUGGUACUUCACGAGGAUGUGAGAAGACUCUGAACAAAAUAAUACACUGCUCGUG
rnacentral:lncRNA from 1 species